rnacentral:rRNA from 1 species
GGGGAAUUUUCCGCAAUGGGCGAAAGCCUGACGGAGCAAUACCGCGUGAGGGAGGAAGGCUCUUGGGUUGUAAACCUCUUUUCUCAGGGAAGAAGCUCUGACGGUACCUGAGGAAUCAGCAUCGGCUAACUCCGUGCCAGCAGCCGCGGUAAUACGGAGGAUGCAAGCGUUAUCCGGAAUGAUUGGGCGUAAAGCGUCCGCAGGUGGCACUCCAAGUCUGCUGUCAAAGGUCGGGGCUUAACUCCGAACAGGCAGUGGAAACUGGAGAGCUAGAGUGCGGUAGGGGCAGAGGGAAUUCCCGGUGUAGCGGUGAAAUGCGUAGAGAUCGGGAAGAACACCAGUGGCGAAAGCGCUCUGCUAGGCCUGCACUGACACUCAGGGACGAAAGCUAGGGGAGCGAAAGGGAUUAGAUACCCCUGU